rnacentral:lncRNA from 1 species
CCCUCCCCGCGCUCGGUCCAGGGACGCUGGCGUUUCUGCGCAGCCGUGCCAGCAGCCGCGAAAGCGCCAGGCAGGGCUCAGGCUUUCUGUUUGGGAUUCAUGUCCAGGUGCCGGCCUGAUCCUGAGCAGGCGCUUCAGAUGGCUGCACUCCACCAGGAAGUAGAAGGAACACAGGCCGCCUUGCAAGCCUGUCUUGUGUGGAAGAAACCACUUCCCUAGGAGACCAGAACUAAGUCACUUGACUCCUCUCAGCUGCAAGAAAAGUGGGCAGCCCUGAUGGGCACACCCUCGAUUCCCAUCUGAGGCUGGCACGGUUGCUGCCGGGUG